UACGUAGGGUGCAAGCGUUGUCCGGAAUUACUGGGCGUAAAGGGCGCGUAGGCGGCCUGCUAAGUCGAACGUGAAAUCCCUGGGCUCAACCCAGGAACUGCGUCCGAUACUGGUUGGCUUGAAUCCGGGAGAGGGAUGUGGAAUUCCAGGUGUAGCGGUGAAAUGCGUAGAUAUCUGGAGGAACACCGGUGGCGAAGGCGACAUCCUGGACCGGUAUUGACGCUGAGGCGCGAAAGCCAGGGAGCAAAGCGGG
rnacentral:rRNA from 1 species